UAAAACGUCACAGUUUCACCUACGGAAAGAAAGUCGAUCUCUUUUAGGUUGAGUGAAGAGAUCGAAUUCUGGUUAACAUUAGGGUUUGGGGGAGCAUCUCGAAGAAGGAACUGUCCCUCUGCCAUAUUUUGCGAGGUUAAGAGAGAUUUUGCAAGAAAUAAGCAAUGGAGGAUGUGAAACAUAAAUCUAGGAAGGAAGAUUCGGAAAGGAAGGAGGAGGAUUCGAAGAGGAGUCACCGUGAUCGUGAUAAGGAGAGGAAUGGAGAGAGGAAUCGGGACAGAGAGAAAAGCCGACGUUCUGAGAGAGAGAAGAGUAUUGAUUCCGAUGACAAAUAUGAGAGAGAGCGGGACAAGCAUAGAAGGAGCCGAGAUGACGAAAGGGAAAGACCCAAGGAUAGGAAGAGAGAUAGAGAUCGGGACAGAGAUAGAGAUAGUGAAAGGGAGGAGAAAAGGGAGAGGGCGAGAGAGAAAGAGAGAGAUAAGAGGGAACGUGACAGAGAAGAACGUGAACGGGAGAGAGAUAGAGAGAGGGAGAGAAGGGAACGUGACAGAGAAGAACGAGAAAGGGAGAGGGAGAGGGAGAGGGAGAAGGAAAGGGAGAGGGAGAGGGAGAGAAGGGAGAGAGAAAGGGAAAAGGAAAGAGAAAGAGAGAGGAGGACAAGAGAAAAGGAGAAACGGAGAGAAUUUACCAGUGAUGAUGAUAGUGGUGAUGAUUCCAGGGAGCAUGAUAGGAAGCGACGGAGGAGAGAUGAUAAUGACUACAGGGAGAGAGCACGUGAACAGAGCACUGGCGGCAGGUCAAACAGGCACAAGGAUGACAGUGAGGGGAGCCCAAGGAAAAGGAGUGGUGAGGAUGACACAGAUAAGAAAGAGAAGAAAACUCGAGAGGAUGAAUUAGAGGAUGAACAGAAGCGAUUGGAUGAGGAAAUAGAGAAGAGGAGAAGAAGAGUUCAGGAGUGGCAAGAGUUGAGGAGGAAAAAGGAAGAAUCCGAGAGAGACAAGCAUGGGGAAGCAGCUAAUGUAGAUAAACCCAAUACAGGUAAAACUUGGACCCUUGAAGGAGAUUCUGAUGAUGAUGAAGCACCUCCUACAGGGACAUCAGAAACAGACAUGGAACUAGAUGAAAAUUCAAAGCCUGAUAAAGAUGUUGGAGAUGCAAUGGUGGUAGACUUUAAAAAUGGGACAGCUGCUUUAGAGAAUGAUGGUGAUGAUGUUAUUGGGGAUGAGGAAAUUGAUCCAUUGGAUGCUUUCAUGAAUUCCAUGGUCUUACCUGAAGUUGAGAAGCUAAACAAUGCAGCAAUUACUCAAGCUGUUGAUGAUAAUAAAGUGGAGUUAAAGAAGAAGGACAAAAAGGAGGAAGGAAGCAAUGGAGAGCAGCUGAAGAAAGGCUCUAAUAAAUCUCUUGGGAGAAUAAUUCCUGGUGAAGAUUCUGAUUCAGAUUAUGGGGACCUUGAGAAUGAUGAAAAUUCUUUAGAUGAUGAAGAUGAUGACGAGUUCAUGAAGAGGGUGAAGAAAACGAAAGCUGAGAAGCUAUCUGUUGUUGAUCACUCGAAGAUUGAUUACAAACCUUUCCGGAAAAAUUUCUAUAUUGAAGUGAAGGAGGUAUUGAGGAUGAACCCUGAAGAGGUUGCUACUUAUAGGAAACUAUUAGAACUGAAAAUACAUGGAAAGGAUGUUCCAAAACCAGUUAAAACAUGGCACCAAACUGGACUGUCAAGUAAAAUUUUGGACACAAUAAAGAAGCUUAACUAUGAGAAGCCAAUGCCGAUUCAAGCUCAGGCGCUGCCAAUAAUUAUGAGUGGCAGAGACUGCAUAGGCAUUGCAAAAACUGGCUCUGGCAAAACCCUCGCUUUUGUGCUGCCAAUGCUGAGGCACAUCAAGGACCAGCCACCUGUGGAAGCUGGAGAUGGGCCAAUUGGGCUUAUAAUGGCGCCUACUAGGGAGCUUGUUCAACAGAUCCACAGUGACAUAAAGAAGUUUGCCAAGGUACUGGGAAUUAGAUGUGUGCCUGUAUAUGGAGGCUCUGGUGUUGCUCAACAGAUCAGUGAAUUAAAGCGGGGUACUGAGAUUGUUGUUUGCACGCCAGGUAGGAUGAUUGACAUACUUUGCACAAGUGGGGGUAAAAUUACAAAUCUGCGUAGAGUUACUUAUCUAGUAAUGGAUGAAGCUGAUAGGAUGUUUGACAUGGGCUUUGAACCUCAGAUCACUAGAAUUGUCCAGAAUAUUCGACCAGAUCGUCAGACUGUACUCUUUUCUGCUACUUUUCCUCGGCAGGUUGAGAUUUUAGCUCGAAAAGUACUGAACAAACCUGUGGAAAUUCAGGUUGGUGGGAGGAGUGUGGUGAACAAGGACAUAACUCAGUUAGUUGAGGUAAGGCCAGAAAGUGACAGGUUCUUGAGACUCCUAGAACUACUUGGUGAAUGGUAUGAGAAGGGAAAAAUUUUGAUAUUUGUCCAAUCACAGGAUAAAUGUGAUGCUUUGUUUAGGGAUUUGCUCAAGCAUGGUUAUCCUUGCCUUUCACUUCAUGGGGCUAAAGAUCAAACAGACCGUGAGUCUACCAUUUCUGAUUUCAAAAGCAAUGUAUGUAAUUUGUUGAUUGCCACAAGUGUUGCAGCCAGGGGCUUAGAUGUGAAGGAGCUUGAACUGGUGAUCAAUUUUGAUGUCCCAAAUCACUAUGAGGAUUAUGUUCACCGUGUUGGUCGAACUGGCCGAGCUGGUCGCAAAGGCUGUGCCAUCACAUUUAUUUCUGAGGAUGAUGCAAGAUAUGCACCAGAUCUUGUAAAGGCAUUGCAACUCUCUGAGCAAGUUGUUCCAGAGGACCUGAAAGCUCUUGCAGAUGGCUUUAUGGCCAAAGUGACCCAGGGGCUUGAGCAAGCCCAUGGAACUGGUUAUGGUGGAACUGGUUUUAAAUUCAAUGAAGAGGAGGAUGAAAAGAGGAUAGCAGCUAAAAAAGCACAAGCAAAAGAAUAUGGCUUUGAGGAAGACAAGUCAGAUUCGGAAGAUGAAGAUGAAGGGGUUCGUAAGGCAGGUGGUGACAUCUCACGCCAGGCUGCCUUUGCUCAGCACUUAGUUGCUAUUGCUGCUGCCUCCAAAGGCAGUGCAUCUUCAACACCGACUCCUAUCUCAGCUGCUCAAUUGCUUCCCCAUGGUGGAUUACCUGUUUCGCUGCCAGGUGUCAUGGGCCUAACACUUCCAGGUGUAGCUACAGUUUUGCCAGGGCCUGGACUACCUGUUGUUAGUAAUGAUAACACAGUUAAGGCGAUUACGGCUGCUUACAACUUGCAGCAGAACCUUGCAAAGAUCCAAGCUGAUGCAAUGCCAGAACAUUAUGAAGCAGAGCUGGAGAUUAAUGAUUUCCCGCAAAAUGCUCGGUGGAAGGUUACUCACAAGGACACAUUGGUUCCAAUUUCUGAAUUUUUUGGUGCUGCAAUUACUACAAGGGGACAGUAUUUCCCACCAGGCCGGAUUCCAGGACCAGGAGAACGCAAGCUUUACUUGUUCAUUGAGGGCCCUAGUGAAACGUCUGUUAAAAAAGCUAAAGCAGAAUUAAAACGUGUUUUGGAAGACAUCACAAACCAGGCAUUAUCACUUCCUGGUGGAGCUCAGCCAGGGAGAUACUCAGUUAUAUAAGUGUAAGUUAUAUAACUGGAUUACAGUAUCAUUAUUUCUAUGUUGGAUGUGAACUGAAGCUCUAGUUGUAUUUUUUGCCUUCACACAUUUGGGAUGCUUUUAGUCAUUUUGUUUUGAAAACUUAUCUUUUAAAUGCUAUAGGUUUAGGAAAAUAAUGAAAUGCCUUUGUUUCUGGAAUGGCAGCUUAUAGAUUGUACUCUACCUUUUUCUGCAUUGUUUGCUUUUGGAGCAUUACUUGAGAUAAAACUUACCUACAAUGAGGCCAGAGCUUUUUUUUUUUUUCUCCUUUUUUCCCUUUUAUAUAUUUGUGUUUGUCAUGGUACAAACCACACAAACAGCCUAUUAGCUAAUGUGAUGAGACAAUUGUUUACAUCUGAGUAUCUGACCCUUUUUAGGGCUUUUAAGGGGUUGGUGGGUGUGUGUGUGUGUUUGUGCGCAUGUUAGAUUUUCAUCUCUCCAUCCCUUAUUCUUUUAUAUAUCAUGUAGCUUCUCAAGUUAGCUGUGCAGAUGUUAAAUUUGUUGUCAAUUUCCAUGUGUCUCUUCCUCUUUUAAUUUCUUCCUUUUUUCCUUUUUUUGGGUUUAUUCUUUUCCUAUGGAUCGAGGGAUGAUUUAAGCCUAUGCCCACAUGUCCAAAAUAGUUUCUGCUCAUUGCCUUUGCUAUCGUGCUGUUGAACGGACGGAUCCGGAGUGUUUGGAAAAGUUCCAGAAGAUACAUUUUGCCUUAUAGAAGUCUCUUGCAAUUGCACCUUUGACCGAUGUUAAAAUUGAGCAGGAUGACAGUGACAUAGUUUCCAUUUGUAGAUUUUGCAUUGCAGGGGUGUCCUUGUAAUUAUAUUGGGCAGGCUAACUACAAAAUAUAUGUUAUUUUGUGGUCCUGCUUUCCAUUAUACUGGCACAUGUCUGGAUGCUUUUGAUUGUGUUUUAUUUAUUCUUCUUUUGUCAGAUUUACUUAAAUGGUAUAAUAAUAGUUAUAAUUAUUUUUGGAGGA